CAAAUAUAGAUUAUUUCUCCUUUUUU
rnacentral:tRNA from 1 species